AUGAUCGCAGAGACUCCACCGCCCCAGAGCCUCCUCCCAAGCGAGGCUGUAGCCUGGGGAAAGACAACUUGCACCUACGGAGCUGAAGUACGCAAGCGCAAAAGGAGCCCCGAAGUUCAAUACCAAAAUAAAAACUACAUUUCCCGUACAUGCAUGGCAGUGAAGACCAGUGAAGCGAGUCAGGCUGGGAGGAUGCAAGUGCACAGCUGGAGGGGUUGCUGCAGGGUUAAAGUUCUUCACAGCCUUCCAUGGAAUCUGACUAUCCUUCUAAAGUUACUGAUGUUCAGGUAUGUUUUUCAUCACUGCCACCAAUAUUCCCAGUUUUAA
rnacentral:lncRNA from 1 species